rnacentral:rRNA from 1 species
ACUCCUACGGGAGGGCAGCAGUAGGGAAUCUUCCACAAUGGGCGCAAGCCUGAUGGAGCAACACCGCGUGAGUGAAGAAGGGUUUCGGCUCGUAAAGCUCUGUUGUUAAAGAAGAACACGUAUGAGAGUAACUGUUCAUACGUUGACGGUAUUUAACCAGAAAGUCACGGCUAACUACGUGCCAGCAGCCGCGGUAAUACGUAGGUGGCAAGCGUUAUCCGGAUUUAUUGGGCGUAAAGAGAGUGCAGGCGGUUUUCUAAGUCUGAUGUGAAAGCCUUCGGCUUAACCGGAGAAGUGCAUCGGAAACUGGAUAACUUGAGUGCAGAAGAGGGUAGUGGAACUCCAUGUGUAGCGGUGGAAUGCGUAGAUAUAUGGAAGAACACCAGUGGCGAAGGCGGCUACCUGGUCUGCAACUGACGCUGAGACUCGAAAGCAUGGGUAGCGAACAGGAUUAGAUACCCCUGGUAGGAUAGCG